AUGCCAGGGCAAGUUAAGGGAGAAUAUAUAGGCAGCGGCUAGGUAGGCAAGAUAAGGUUACAAAAAGUUGCCAGUAGGGGUCUCUCCAUUCUCACAGUAUGUCAAAAUCAUCACUCACUCUUGCACGAGGAAUAGAUUUAGUGCUGAAUCAAACAAAACCCAGUGCCAUCACUUGCAUAUUGGCAUCCCAGAGAUGGUUAUUGGCAUCCCAGAGAUGGCUAAUUUAACCCCCCAGUUCCUGCCUGUAGUCCCCCUUAAAGGUACCACAGGUGGACGGUAGCCUGUAGUGGGCUCCAUACCUCUGGCAAAAAACCUCAAUAGAGGUUACGGCGCCAGUAAAUGAUUGAUUGAUUGGUAGCCUAAUUGUCAUUUUUCUUUUAUACUAUUUCAGCACCAUGCUUCAACAAAGAGGAGGGAUCGGUCGGUUUUUACGGAGAACCAUAAGACCUGUUUAAAUCAAGCCAUUGAUGAUGGUGUGUGUGCCAGGGCAGACUGCAAGGACCAGAUUCAGGAACUCGCUACUGAUAUUGAACUUCCCUAUGAUACUUGUUGGGUUUAUAUCCAGAACCAUUCUAGAGGAAGGACGCAAUCAAGCCAGAAGGAUUCGAAGGUUCCAAAGUGGGGAUACAAUGGGUACACCUUAUUCCUCAAAGAGGGAGACAAAAAAGUAAAAGAGGGUGAGAAACCAAAAGAUGCAAUGAAGAGGUGGGCGGACGAGUACCGGAGCCUGGGUGACCAUACGAAGAAGAGUUUUGGGCAGCGGGCCAAGUUGCUGGGGCCUGAUUAUGCCGACCCGUUGAUUAGGCGCAAAAGGAUCAACCAGAUAUUUGGGAAUAUUGCUCAAGGUGUAAGU